UUGGAAUGAUGGGAAUUUAAACCUCUUCCAGAGUAUCAAUUGGAGGGCAAGUCUGGUGCCAGCAGCCGCGGUAAUUCCAGCUCCAAUAGCGUAUAUUAAAAUUGUUGCAGUUAAAAAGCUCGUAGUUGAAUUUCUGCUGCAUUGCUUGUGUCCCUCUGGGGUCUGUGCAUGUGGCUUUUUUCGGACGGAGUUUCUUUGUCUGAAUGUUUACUUUGAGAAAAUUAGAGUGCUCAAAGCAGGCUUUCGCCUUGAAUAGUUUAGCAUGGAAUAAUAAAGUAGGACUUUGGUUCUAUUUUGUUGGUUUUAGGUACCAAAGUAAUGGUUAAUAGGAACAGUUGGGGGCAUUCGUAUUUAACUGUCAGAGGUGAAAUUCUUAG
rnacentral:rRNA from 1 species